CAGAGAAUAGUUUAUUAAAAAUUUUAAUUUUGGAGAUUAAAGAUAAGAGUUAUCCUUUUCUCUGA
rnacentral:tRNA from 1 species